CAGCCCAGUCUUUUUUUAAAUCCAUGUCUAAUUUUUUUUCUAUUUUCAAGCCUAAGUCAAGUCUUCUUUUAAGUGUAACUUUUAUCUUGAAUUAAUAGGUCUCGGUAUUGCUUAAUAGUCCCAGAGUACUGCGCGAGACGUCCACUUCCAUCUAAAUUUUAGUAAGCCGGUCCAUCAGCAGAAGGCGCUGAAUGCCAAAGGACUGGCAAGUGAAGAUGAUGUGAUCUGAGGCAUGUUACACACCAGCUGCAAUGAAGCUAUUGGAGAUAUCCUGAAUGCUCCAGUAAUGAGUCGAAAACCAAUGGAGAUCAAAUCACUUGAAAGUAUAGCAAGAUUUACAUUGUUAAGUGCAUCAACUAUGUCAAAGAAGAUACAUACAAGUUUUCUUUUACAAGAGACAGCAUUGUAAAUGUCUAGCUGAAGAUGACUUAUGCUCUCCUGUACUGAUCUGCCUCUUCAGAAGCCGAAUUGAUUAUUAGAUAAUACUUAAUGGAGUGCUGCGAGUAUGUUUCACAUAAAAUGACCCAGCUGUCACAACAUUCCUGAUUUAAGAUAAGUUUCUUUUUAGCCUGAAGUCUUUUAAAAUUAAUAAAAUUUUCUUCUGUAGGGUUUUGUUUGAAGUUUACAUAUGCAUUUUUUGAAUUUUCUACUGCUAAAUAGCACUUUUCAUUCCACCAUGGAAGAUUCAAUCUCUUUUUAUCUCUGCAAGUGUUUUUAUUACUAUUGACAUUGUAAUUUUUUGGGAGGGAAUUAAUUAUAGCUAAGUGGAAUAUAUUACAUAGAUUAUCAUAAACUUCAUUAGCUGUUAAAGAGUCUACCUCUAAUGUAUUAAAUAACUCAUUAACUGUAUUACUGUAUAUUUCCCAAUUUACAAGUUUAAAGUUAGAACGUUUAUUGUUUAUUGUGUAUAUAUACAGGUGUACCUAAAACAUUGUUUUGAAUGUUAUUGUUAUUCU